AGUGAACGCUGGCGGUAGGCCUAACACAUGCAAGUCGAACGGCAGCACAGUAAGAGCUUGCCCUUACGGGUGGCGAGUGGCGGACGGGUGAGGAAUACAUCGGAAUCUACUUUUUCGUGGGGGAUAACGUAGGGAAACUUACGCUAAUACCGCAUACGACCUACGGGUGAAAGCAGGGGAUCUUCGGACCUUGCGCGAUUGAAUGAGCCGAUGUCGGAUUAGCUAGUUGGCGGGGUAAAGGCCCACCAAGGCGACGAUCCGUAGCUGGUCUGAGAGGAUGAUCAGCCACACUGGAACUGAGACACGGUCCAGACUCCUACGGGAGGCAGCAGUGGGGAAUAUUGGACAAUGGGCGCAAGCCUGAUCCAGCCAUACCGCGUGGGUGAAGAAGGCCUUCGGGUUGUAAAGCCCUUUUGUUGGGAAAGAAAAGCAGCAGGUUAAUACCCCGCUGUUCUGACGGUACCCAAAGAAUAAGCACCGGCUAACUUCGUGC
rnacentral:rRNA from 1 species